GAUGAACGCUGGCGGCGUGCUUAAUACAUGCAAGUCGAGCGAACAGAUGAGGAGCUUGCUCCUCUGACGUUAGCGGCGGACGGGUGAGUAACACGUGGAUAACCUACCUAUAAGACUGGGAUAACUUCGGGAAACCGGAGCUAAUACUGGAUAAUAUAUUGAACCGCAUGGUUCAAUAGUGAAAGACGGUUUUGCUGUCACUUAUAGAUGGAUCCGCGCCGCAUUAGCUAGUUGGUAAGGUAACGGCUUACCAAGGCAACGAUGCGUAGCCGACCUGAGAGGGUGAUCGGCCACACUGGAACUGAGACACGGUCCAGACUCCUACGGGAGGCAGCAGUAGGGAAUCUUCCGCAAUGGGCGAAAGCCUGACGGAGCAACGCCGCGUGAGUGAUGAAGGUCUUCGGAUCGUAAAACUCUGUUAUUAGGGAAGAACAAAUGUGUAAGUAACUAUGCACGUCUUGACGGUACCUAAUCAGAAAGCCACGGCUAACUACGUG
rnacentral:rRNA from 1 species